GUGGAGUUGGUUCUGUCAUGGAAUCUUGUGUUGGUACUGGAGGCUGAGUUGGUUGGUCACUUGGUGGUUCUUGUGGCUGGGUAGGUUGGUCACUUGGUGCUUCUUGUGGCUGAGGAGGUUGGUCACUUGCUGGUUCUGUUGGUUCUAUGGUGGGUGGACGUAGAGGACAUAUUUUUUUGUUGUGCCCAAAUUGACGAUAGAUGCUACAUUUCUUUCUAUGCCCACCAACAGGCAUCUGGGUUCCAUCCUUGGUUAGCUCCCAUGGGUCCAAUCUUCUUUUCUUCUUUG
rnacentral:lncRNA from 1 species